CACCCAAAUUUGCAUAGAAACCUCAGAAAAUAAUUUCCCACUUCGCCAUGUCCAAUAUUUCAGCUCUCUAACACCAUCAAUCAUGAACAAUAUUGCUUCUCCUACACAGGGAAAACCUGGUAGGGGUGGCUGGAAUGCUGCUAUAUUCAUCAUCUUUGUUGAGGUGGCCCAGCAGUUUGCGUUCUAUGGGUUGGCAAGUAACCUCAUCACGUACCUCACAAAUGUUCUGGACCAGCCCUUGGCCACGGCGGCUAAGAAUGUCAACACCUGGCUCGGUGUCUCAUCCGUCUUCCCCGUGCUCGGAGCCUUCGUUGCAGAUUCGUAUUUGGGUCGCUUCACGACCAUCCUCUUCUCCAUCACCAUCUAUUUCAUGGGCAUGGUCCUUUUAACUCUCUCAGUCUCAGUAAUUCAUUCGCAAAGUCGCCGAGCGGUCUUCUUCGUGGCACUGUACAUUUUAUCGUGUUGCCCAAGGGCAAAAGCCGUGCGUGCAAACUUUUGCGGCAGACCAGUUCGAUGAGAACAGAGGAGGAAAGAAAGGCCAAGAGCUCAUUUUUUAACUGGUGGUACUUGGGUUUGGUGUUUGGUGCCACUUCUGCCACACUCGGAGUUGUAUAUCUCCAGGAUAAUGUUGGGUGGGGAUUAGGGUUUGGCAUAUUGGCAGGGGUCGUGAUGGUGUCACUAUUAUUAUUCUUGGUGGGAAUUAAGAGGUACCGGAAGCAAAGGCCUCCUGGCAGCCCAUUUACGACGCUGGCACAAGUAUUUGUGGCAGCAGCUCUGAAAUGGCACGUGAAUGAGAUACUCAAUUGCGAAAGUGUGUAUUAUGGAGAUGAGAAGGGUGGAGCCAUGGUAGAAGGUCAACCUCAGGCUCUAGUUUUGUCUCGUACUAAUCAACUGAGAUUUCUGGACAAGGCAAUGAUGAUAGACGAAGUAGAUGCAUCAAACCAAACCAGAAACCCAUGGAGGUUAUGCUCUCUCAAUCAAGUGGAAGAAGUGAAGCUUGUCCUCCGACUCAUUCCCAUAUGGUUAAGUUGCCUAAUGUUUGGUGUAAUCCAAGCCCAACUUCACACCGUCUUCACCAAAGUAGCACAACAAUCCGAUCAAUCGGUCCCCAUUUCCAAGUCCCUCCAGCAUCACUUCAAGGACUUGUUGGCAUUGCCAUCUUAAUCGCCGUUCCAAUUUACAACCGAUUUUUAGUCCCGCUAACCAGAAAAUAUACUGGACACUCCUCAGGCAUUACCGUGCUACAAAGAAUCGGGAUCGGCCUAGUUAUAUCAAUACUCAAUAUGGUUGUGUCAGCCCUAGUAGAGGCCAAAAGGCUCGACGUUGCAAAACAUUAUAAUCUCAUUGACAAGCCUAAAGCAAUAAUACCAAUGAAGGUAUGGUGGUUACUCCCACAAUACCUAAUUUGCGGUGUCUCCGACGCGUUCACAACCGUGGGACUUCAAGAACUGUUUUAUGAUCAAAUGCCAGAGCAGAUGAGAAGCAUGGGGGCAGCGGCUUUUAUUAGUGUUAUCGGCGUUGGCAGCUUCAUAAGCUCUGGUAUUAUAAGUAUUGUGCAGUCCAUUACCUCAAGAAAUGGUGAGAAAUGGCUUGGGGACAAUAUUAAUCGGGCUCACCUUGAUUACUUCUAUUGGGUGCUAGCAGUUUUGAGCACACUGAGUUUGUGUGUUUAUGUGUUAAUUACAAGGGCUUUUGUGUACAGAAAGAUUGGAGGAGAAGAGAAACUGAAGGCAGAGAUGAGCUUAUUUGCAAAGAACCAUGAUGGAGGAGAGACAUGAGACAUAAAAGGCAAGAUUAGAGCAAGUACAAGUCUAAGACUCACAAACUUAAACUUAGGAUAAAGUGCUCUACCAUUAGCAGCUAGAAGUUAAGCUCGACAAUUACAAGAAGUAAUUAUUUAUUUGCGAGGAAACACAUUCUGCGAUUUAGGUAUAUAGGUCGUUGAUUUUAAGUUCAAAUACCUUGAAAUAAUGUGCAAGAGACUUAUAGUUCAAGGGGUAAGAGCAUUUACCUAUGCACUCAAAGUCUUAGGCUCAAUCCCACCAAUUAUUCCAAUGAACAUGCUCGAAGCAGAUUUUUUCUAUUGAAUUAAAAAUCCGAAAU